rnacentral:rRNA from 1 species
GGGUCAGUAGGUUGGUCGUGCCACCGGUACGUACUGGUCUCACUGGGUCCUCCUUCCUGAAGAACCGUAAUGCCAUUAAUUUGGUGUUGCGGGGAAACAGGACUGUUACUUUGAAAAAAUUAGAGUGUUUAAAGCAAGCUAACGCUUGAAUACAUUAGCAUGGAAUAAUGAAAUAGGACGUUCGAUCCUAUUUUGUUGGUUUCUAGGAUUGACGUA